ACAAGUUCGAGAACCAGCAAUUAGGUGAAAUAUCCCUUUCCCCUUUUUGAAGCUAAAAUUCCUGUGAAGAUUUUAGUUGCCAACAUGGCAUGUAUGCAUCUUAGAACAUAAAAUGUUCUCUUAUGUCUCCUUGCAAUUCUGCUUCCUUUGGUUUUCUUGAUCCACACAUCAUGUUGUGAACAAGUGACAGUUAAUUUUAAUUGAUUCUGUUGAUCCUCCACCACCUCCCUCUUUCCUCCUCCUCGGCACAUCGUACUGUUUAACAAAACUCCAACCACUGCUCCCUACUUGAACACGACUCAAACCACAAUGGACUUUUUUGUACUUUUCCCUAGAUCAAGUGCUACCCACUAAAAAACCUUUUUGCCAGACAAAACGUCUUUGCAGAAGCUGCUACCAUUUCAGCUUAGUGGGAUUUUGUUAUUUGCAAUUUGGCUGUGUCAUUCACAGAUUUUGUCAACAAUUUUGUGAAUUUGCAGUUGGAAUGCCACUUACGAUAGU
rnacentral:misc_RNA from 1 species